UUGAUUUUAACCCCAAAACUAUACCCAAACUUGAAUCAAAUGCAAAACUAACCUAAAAGCCUUGUGAAAUUACAGUCAAUCCCCUUGUGACCAAACAAAAAAACAGAAGCUAUUUUUACGAAUAUAGCCCCAGUAAGUCGUCUGAGAUGUUGGAAGUAGUUUGGACGACUUACUUGUAAGUCGUAUGGUACCAGUUUAUCUUAAAAUAAUUUAUAAAUUUUGUAAAAAAUAUUUUGAUGAGUGAAAAAUAAAAAUCAUGUAAUUAUACACAGUUUUAAGUGAUAUAAAUUAAGAUAUGAAAAUUGAUUUGUU
rnacentral:lncRNA from 1 species